GAAAACCCAGUAUAAUGACCACCUCAAGUCAACACGCGACCCCCUCACCAAAAGAAUGCAUCCGGGACAAUCGACGCGCCUUUGGCAACGUUGGAAUGAAUGUUUCACCUGGCAAAUUCAACUCGCGUUUCUUUUCUUUCAUCUCAAUUAGUUGGAAAGGUUUCAGAACUGUGUGUUUCCUGGUGAAAUCUCGGCCCCGAAGUUUCAUGCCGAAGAUAUGAAGAUAGGGGAAGCAAAGCCGGCUGAGUACUAGGCGACUGCAAGAUCAGUGUAGGCUACGCAGGGAGGGGGAGAGACCGAACGGGAGGGAUAGAAGAAAAAAGCGAACAGCACCCGAACUGUGCGUGGUUCACCUUCUGAAAAACAGGAAGCCAACGCCGAUCAGUCCACCUGGCCGCAUUGUCCUGCGAGGAGAAGACAGAGGACGGUCGAUAUUCUCCUAUUCCCAACAGGAGUGUAACUCAAGAUGCAGUGUCCCUCCACCUCCCCAGAUGCCACUAGCAUGGAGGAGAGAUACAGGGAAUAAGAGCCUCCAGGAGACCGCAGGUAAGACCUGCAUGUAUUUGUCUUUAGGAAAAGCACCAGGCAAAUACAGAGCCUUCAGAAAGUAUUCAUACCCCUUGACUUAUUCCACAAUUUUUGCUGUUACAGCCUGAAUUCAAAAUGGAUUAAAUAUUUUUUUUUCUCACCAAUCUAUACAAAAUACCCCACAAUGGAAGUGAAAACAUGUUUUUUGAAAUUUGAGUAAACUUUGUAAAAGCACUUUGACAGUGAUUACAGCUCUGAAUCUUUGGGUAAAUCUCCAAGAGCUUUAUACCGGAGUUGUGCAACAUCUUCCCAUUUUUAUUAUUUUCAAAAUUCUGAACCAGGUUUCCUCUAGGAUUUUGUCUGUGCUUAGCUCCAUUCCAUAAAUGUUUUUAUUCUGUAAAACUCCCCAGUUCUUAACGAUUACAAGAAUACCUCUAACAUGAUUCAGCCACCACUAUGCUUGAAAAUAUGGAGAGUGGUACUCAUAUGUUUUGGGCAAAUCCAAUACGACUAACACUUUGUAUUCAGGACAAAAAGUGAAUUGCUUUGCCAUAUUUUUUUGCAGUAUUACUUUAGUGCUUUGUUGUAAACAGGAUGCAUGUUAUUUAUUUAUAUAUAUUUUAAAUAUUUGUAUUCUAUACGGGCUUCUUUUCACGUAUUGUGGAGUAACUACAAUGUUGUUGAUCCAUCCUCAAUUUUCUCCUGUCACUGCCAUUAAACUCUUAACUGUUUUAAAGUCACCAUUGGCCUCUAGUGAAAUCCCUGAGUGGUUUCCUUCCUCUCCGGCAACUGUGAUAGGAAGGAAGCCUGUAUUUGUGUAGUGACUGGAUGUAUUGAUACACCAUCCAAAGUGUAAUUAAUAACUUCUCCAUGCUUAAAGGGAUAUUCAGCUUUGUUUUUAGCCAUCUGCCAGUAGGUGCGCUUCUUUGCAGCCAUUGGAAAACCUCCCUGGUCUUUGUGGUUAAAUCUCGACUAAAGGACCUUAGAUAAUUAUAUGUGCGGGGUACAGAGAUGAGAGUCAUUCAGAAAACAUGUAAAACAUUAUUAUUGCACAUAGUGAGUUCAUGCAACUUAUGUGACUUGUUAAGCAAAUGUUUACUUCUAAACUUUAGGCUUACCAUAACAAUGGGGUUGAAUACUUAUUGACUCAAGACAUUUCAGCUUUUCAGUUUUAAUUUGAAAAAACUAUGGAAAUUCAAAAGGCAUAAUUCCACCUUGGCAUUAUGGGGUAUUGUAUUUAAGUGACAAUCUCAAUUGAAUCCAUUUUAAAUUCAGGCUGUAAAACCAACAAAAUGUGGAAAAAG
rnacentral:lncRNA from 1 species